UACGGAGGGGGCAAGCGUUAUUCGGAAUUAUUGGGCGUAAAGGGCGCGUAGGCGGCUAGAUGUGUCAAAGGUGAAAUCCCUCGGCUCAACUGAGGAACUGCCUUUGAAACUGCCUGGCUUGAGGCCGGGAGAGGGUAGCGGAAUUCCCAGUGUAGCGGUGAAAUGCGUAGAUAUUGGGAGGAACACCAGUGGCGAAGGCGGCUACCUGGACCGGUUCUGACGCUGAGGCGCGAAAGCGUGGGUAGCAAACAGG
rnacentral:rRNA from 1 species